rnacentral:rRNA from 1 species
UACGGGGGGGGCAAGCGUUGUUCGGAAUUACUGGGCGUAAAGGGCUCGUAGGCGGCCAACUAAGUCAGACGUGAAAUCCCGGGCUCAACCUGGGGGCUGCGCUUGAUACUGAUUGGCUUGAAUGCGGGAGAGGAUAGUGGAAUUCCCAGUGUAGAGGUGAAAUUCGUAGAUAUUGGGAAGAACACCGGUGGCGAAGGCGGCUAUCUGGCCCGUAAUUGACGCUGAGGCGCGAAAGCGUGGGGAGCAAACAGG